rnacentral:rRNA from 1 species
UACGAAGGGGGCUAGCGUUGCUCGGAAUCACUGGGCGUAAAGCGCACGUAGGCGGUUUCUUAAGUCAGGGGUGAAAUCCUGGAGCUCAACUCCAGAACUGCCUUUGAUACUGGGAGACUCGAGUCCGGGAGAGGUGAGUGGAACUGCGAGUGUAGAGGUGAAAUUCGUAGAUAUUCGCAAGAACACCAGUGGCGAAGGCGGCUCACUGGCCCGGUACUGACGCUGAGGUGCGAAAGCGUGGGGAGCAAACAGG